rnacentral:rRNA from 1 species
UAAUACGUAGGUGGCGAGCGUUGUCCGGAUUUACUGGGCGUAAAGAGCGCGCAGGCGGUCGUACAAGUCGAAUGUGAAAGCCCCCGGCUCAACUGGGGAGGGUCAUUCGAUACUGUUCGACUCGAAGGCAGGAGAGGGAAGUGGAAUUCCCGGUGUAGUGGUGAAAUGCGUAGAUAUCGGGAGGAACACCAGUGGCGAAGGCGACUUCCUGGCCUGUUCUUGACGCUGAGGCGCGAAAGCUAGGGGAGCAAACGGG